ACGACUCUCGGCAACGGAUAUCUCGGCUCUCGCAUCGAUGAAGAACGUAGCGAAAUGCGAUACCUGGUGUGAAUUGCAGAAUCCCGCGAACCAUCGAGUCUUUGAACGCAAGUUGCGCCCGAGGCCACUCAGCCGAGGGCACGCCUGCCUGGGCGUCACGC
rnacentral:rRNA from 1 species